GACGGACGCUGGCGGCGUGCUUAACACAUGCAAGUCGAACGGAAAGGCCCUGCUUUUGUGGGGUGCUCGAGUGGCGAACGGGUGAGUAACACGUGAGUAACCUGCCCUUGACUUUGGGAUAACUUCAGGAAACUGGGGCUAAUACCGGAUAGGAGCUCCUGCUGCAUGGUGGGGGUUGGAAAGUUUCGGCGGUUGGGGAUGGACUCGCGGCUUAUCAGCUUGUUGGUGGGGUAGUGGCUUACCAAGGCUUUGACGGGUAGCCGGCCUGAGAGGGUGACCGGCCACAUUGGGACUGAGAUACGGCCCAGACUCCUACGGGAGGCAGCAGUGGGGAAUAUUGCACAAUGGGCGGAAGCCUGAUGCAGCAACGCCGCGUGCGGGAUGACGGCCUUCGGGUUGUAAACUGCUUUCGCCUGUGACGAAGCGUGAGUGACGGUAAUGGGUAAAGAAGCACCGGCUAACUACGUG
rnacentral:rRNA from 1 species